UACGUAGGGUGCGAGCGUUGUCCGGAAUUAUUGGGCGUAAAGAGCUCGUAGGCGGUUUGUCACGUCUGCUGUGAAAUCCCGAGGCUCAACCUCGGGCCUGCAGUGGGUACGGGCAGACUGGAGUGCGGUAGGGGAGAAUGGAAUUCCUGGUGUAGCGGUGAAAUGCGCAGAUAUCAGGAGGAACACCGGUGGCGAAGGCGGGUCUCUGGGCCGUAACUGACGCUGAGGAGCGAAAGCAUGGGGAGCGAACAGG
rnacentral:rRNA from 1 species